GACGAACGCUGGCGGCGUGCCUAAUACAUGCAAGUCGAACGAGAGCAACCGGUGCUUGCACUGGUCAAUCUAGUGGCGAACGGGUGAGUAACACGUGGGUAACCUGCCCAUCAGAGGGGGAUAACAUCCGGAAACGGAUGCUAAAACCGCAUAGGUCUUCGAACCGCAUGGUUUGAAGAGGAAAAGAGGCGCAAGCUUCUGCUGAUGGAUGGACCCGCGGUGCAUUAGCUAGUUGGUGAGGUAACGGCUCACCAAGGCCGUGAUGCAUAGCCGACCUGAGAGGGUGAUCGGCCACAUUGGGACUGAGACACGGCCCAAACUCCUACGGGAGGCAGCAGUAGGGAAUCUUCCGCAACGGACGCAAGUCUGACGGAGCAACGCCGCGUGAGUGAAGAAGGUUUUCGGAUCGUAAAACUCUGUUGUUAGAGAAGAACAAGUGCUAGAGUAACUGUUAGCGCCUUGACGGUAUCUAACCAGAAAGCCACGGCUAACUACGUG
rnacentral:rRNA from 1 species